rnacentral:lncRNA from 1 species
AUUUUUUCUUGUCAUUAUUCCUUAAAACAAUGCAGUUUAAUGAUUAAUUACAUGUAUAGGGAUUAUAAGUAAUCUAGAAAUGAUUUAAAGUGGCUGGGCAAGGUGGCACAUGCCUUUAAUCCCAGUGGCUCAGGAUGCUGAGGCAGGAGGAUCAUGAGUUCAAAGCCAGUCUCAGCAACUUAGCAAGGCCCUUAAGCAACUCAGCAAGACCCUGCCUCAAAAUAAAAUACAAAAAAGGACUGAGUAUGUCGCUCAGUGGUUAAGCACCCCUGGGUUCAAUCCCCAGUAUCAAAAAAAAGUGUAUGGGAAAAUUAUAUAAAGAACCUGAGCAUCCUCAGAUUUUGGUAUCUUCAGGGGGUCCUGGAGUCAAUUACCCAUGGAUACUGAUGAAUAUUGAGGGUCUGUUCAAACAAGCCACUUGUAAUUAAAUGUCACAGGUCUUGUGCCCUGGGUCUUCCAGUUUUCAGGGGUCUAUAGACAUGUUUGGGAGCUGAAUACAAAAAUCAACUUCAAAAUACAAAAAUAAAAUUAUAGAAUUGAAAUGAAGGGUUAAGUAAAUGCACAAAUAUGUCAGGUAGUCAGGUGCAGUACUAUUAAACAUUUAUAGCUAUGUUGUUAUUUUACAUGUGGUAGUUGGAGUAUUUUAAUAUUUGAAAUUAUGUGUGGUAGAAUGUCAAUACAAAAAGUCUGCAUCAGCUGGGCCCUGUGGCAUGCACCUGAAGCAGGAGAAUCACUGGAAUCCAGGAGCUUGAGGGCUGCCUGGGCAAUAUUUAACCCCAUUUAAAAAAAUAUAUUCAUCAGGUUCAUAAAGGUUGGGCUGAGGAGGUAGCUCAGUGAUACAGUGCUUCUCUACCAUGCAUGAGACUCUUAAGUUUGAUCCCCAGUUCCCCCCCCCCCACACACACACACACAAAUUCAUAAAGAUCUUGAAAUUAUUAUUAAGAUUUCAUUUGACAAAGAUGUUUUACUUUGUGUGUGGGGGGGGGGCGGGGAACACACACACGUUGAGGCUUGAACCCAGGGUGUUGUGCAUGAAUGCUAAGUAAAAGCUCUGCCUGGGAGCUAAAAUCCCCAGCUCCUACUUCCAAAAAUAUUUUAGUUUGAAAACCAAACAAACUGAACUGCAUAACUCUAGAGCUUGCAGAUAAUGAGAGGCUGGUCUGAAAUGUGCUCCAAGAAGUUAUUUGCUCUUUGCAAGUUAUAAGGCCCUGAGGAUGGGUAUGGGGUUGGAUCCAGAGACCCAAGAGAUUUAAAUAUGCCUGUGUAACCAAGCUGCUGGAGAGAGUCAGAG